rnacentral:rRNA from 1 species
UGGGGAAUAUUGGACAAUGGGCGAAAGCCUGAUCCAGCCAUGCCGCGUGUGUGAAGAAGGUCUUCGGAUUGUAAAGCACUUUAAGUUGGGAGGAAGGGCAGUAAGCGAAUACCUUGCUGUUUUGACGUUACCGACAGAAUAAGCACCGGCUAACUCUGUGCCAGCAGCCGCGGUAAUACAGAGGGUGCAAGCGUUAAUCGGAAUUACUGGGCGUAAAGCGCGCGUAGGUGGUUCGUUAAGUUGAAUGUGAAAGCCCCGGGCUCAACCUGGGAACUGCAUCCAAAACUGGCGAGGUAGAGGAGGGCAGAGGGUGGUGGAAUUUCCUGUGUAGCGGUGAAAUGCGUAGAUAUAGGAAGGAACACCAGUGGCGAAGGCGACCACCUGGGCUCAUACUGACACUGAGGUGCGAAAGCGUGGGGAGCAAACAGG